rnacentral:rRNA from 1 species
AACGAACGCUGGCGGCAGGCUUAACACAUGCAAGUCGAACGCAUCCUUCGGGGUGAGUGGCAGACGGGUGAGUAAAGCGUGGGAACGUGCCCUUCAGUUCGGGAUAACCCAGGGAAACUUGGGCUAAUACCGGAUACGUGCGAAAGCAGAAAGAUUUAUCGCUGAAGGAUCGGCCCGCGUCUGAUUAGCUAGUUGGUGGGGUAAUGGCUCACCAAGGCGACGAUCAGUAGCUGGUCUGAGAGGAUGAUCAGCCACAUUGGGACUGAGACACGGCCCAAACUCCUACGGGAGGCAGCAGUGGGAAAUAUUGGACAAUGGGCGCAAGCCUGAUCCAGCCAUGCCGCGUGAGUGAUGAAGGCCUUAGGGUUGUAAAGCUCUUUCGUCGGGGACGAUAAUGACGGUACCGGAAGAAGAAGCCCCGGCUAACUUCGUGCCAGCAGCCGCGGUAA